ensembl:lncRNA
CAAACAUCAUUGGUGCUAACAGUAUGUCCACUAGAAAGAUCUUUGGUGAAACGCUGAAUAUCUCUAGGCCUUGUAACAACGUUCCUGCUGUUCAGGUGGGCAUGAAGGAUGAGUCAAAAUGUUCAACCUCGCGAGGUGAGGAGCACUUCUGCUGAUCCACCUGGGAGAUAAGGAUACCCGCCCUCUACCAGGCACAAAGCAAGGACUGCUCAGCCAGGACCUUGCCCUCCACUGAAUGAAGCAUUUGUGAACCUUAAGAGAAAGAAGAUGAUGGAAGUGGGUUAAUCCUGAAUAUGGCUAACUGGUUGCAAAAGCUUGUUACAUUCAAAGGCUGGCAACUGGGCAUUCGUUACCUCCCAGGUUGUCUGCGUUCUUAGGGCACCAGAACCCUUCAAAAACCUGCUCAUAGAAAUCUGGCAGCUGUUGAAGUGCACUGUUAGGUACAGAUACAUAAGCCUUAUAAAUAAACCAGUUUUGGCUUGUGCUGUGCUCAGUCUCAGCUAACCCAUCAUGCUCAGAAAUAAAGAUGAAGCUCACUUUCUGAUUUGUAUAAGUACAAAUCCAGACUCAACAGACACUAAAAAACCUGUACGGCCUUUCAUCAGGAAAGCAUCAGUCUUGACAGAGAUAUUUCAGCCAGGGUGCACUACCAAGGGUUUCCCUUGCACGUUUACUAGGAUCAUGGUCAAAGAAAAAUCUCAGUCCCACAGGGCUGAUAGUCCUAUAUGAAUCCAGAGCCAGGCAGAGCCCUGUUCAAAGUGUAAUUAAUGUGCAACCCCAUGCAACCUUCUUUAAACUGUGCCAGGCAGAUGACACAGCAGCCACUCAGAGAGAACUGGAGCAGCAACUGCCAGUGCAGCUACCAGCAAAAGCAGGCAGGGAUCCAGCCUCCAAAACAGAUGAUGCUCUAGCUAGAAAGAAAACCUUGUGUAACAGCUGACUCCAGAUGAACCCAACAGCCAGUGAGGUUACUACACAUGGUGCUGGAGGUAUGGAUGACUGAGGAGUUAGAUAGGGCCAAAUGUAUUGAUAGGACAAGGGAAACAGUUUCAAACUAAAAAGGGGGAGAUUUAAAUUGGGUAUAAGGAAGAAGUUCUUUACAAGGUGGUGGUGAGGAACCAUCAGAGGUUGCCCAGAGAGGUGGUGGUGCCCCAUGUCUGCAGACACCUGAGGUCAGGCUGGAGGGACUCUGAGAACUGAUGGAGCUGUGGGUGUCCCUGUUCAUUGCAAGGAUUUGAACCAGAUGGCUUUUAAGGGUCUGUAAGGGAACUGUUGAAUCACAGCCUGAACCUCUGUUUGACCACCUGAGGCGAGCGCUGAGUCAGCCCGGGAAGCACAGGUGAAGGCAAUUCAGCUGUGUGACUGGAAGGGCUGCAGUCUGGCUGCACCUCUCCUAGACCCCAUUUAAGGGCUGACUCCGAAGGAGGAAGGGUCUCUAUCUGGAGAUCAAUCCUCUUGGAGCCCUUCUGUGAGCCCAGGACAUGGGUAAGCUCUUUAUUUCAUUACUCCUUUGUAACACAAUAAUCGUUCUGGUCCUAUGCAUAUUUACCUUACAGUCUGUAUACCUGUUUGUCAUACAGGGUCCUUUCAACUCAAACUAUUUUACAGUUCUGUGAUUCUAAGAUAUUAACAAGAGUUUGUCUUGCUGAUGAGGGAUAUCAGCAACUGGUUGAGAAUUUUAAUUUGGGGCUAAUUGGGUAAAAAUCAUUACUGGGCAAAGUAGCUUUUAAGUGGCACACAGGUUGAGUGAGGAAACUUCUUUACCCUCUGUAAAUUCUAGCAAGCACAUCUCACCCAUCAGUUCUGCUGUCAAGAGGAACACAGCAUACAGAUCAGACUGGCAGAUAAUGUCCAAUAGAUUCAAGCUGCAAUGCAAUGUCUGUAGCAAAGAGCAGUAGCACCUACAGCGGCUUGCUUCUUUCAUUCCUCUGGAAUAAAUUCUUCAAGAUUUCUUCUAAAAUGAUGCAGCAGUUUGGAAAAAUCCUGCUGAUCAUAUCCAAAGCACAAACAUGUAAUUUGUCUUACCUUCUUUCAGUCCCCUUUAGAUGAUGGUGAACAAUAAAAUAAGAAAGAAAACUGGAAAAUAGAGGCAACACAGCACGUAUGUCAGUCCACGGAGACAGCAAACUGCCUCACUUAAAAGGUAAACAAAGUCACUGCAUCCAUAGCAGUGUAGGAAUCUGCCACUUCAUCCUCUCCUUGCAGGCACUGUCUGACUCUCAAAUGGACAAUAGUAUAUCAAAAUUACUGUAUUGUACCACAGUGCAGAGUCUUAAGCCAUGCAAGACUGCGGAGUGACAGCCACCUGAGACCAGGUUCCCAUUGUUUUUGAUCCUCACACGCUUGUACUUAUACAAAUGACAAAACAUUCCCAAACUUCUAUGAAAUAUAAAGCUUUUGUUCAGAAAUCUCAAAGCUUUCAAAUCUGCCACUUGCUCUGUGUAAGUAGGCAAGUAAAGUUCAUAGGCUUGAAUGCUAGAAAAUAUACUGAUGAGUGCUUCUCUCCCAACUUCCAUUUCUUCUUGACCACUGUCACCUGUUAGCUGAUGGCAUUUUCAGAGCACAGCCAUCAGAGCUGGACUCCGGCUAUGUGACAGAUAACAGGAGGAUCUAUCCUCUUGAGGUUUAACACAGUGGAAAUUGAAAAGGCUUAUGUGGACAAGCUUGACAAAAAUGCUGUUUUCUACCUGAAUUACCUGCCACUCAGUGAGUAUGCAGUGAGUGCUGACAGUGUGCUGCUAUUAUACCAUCCUCUGAGUGAAGCUGGUUGCUCUGGGACCUCAGCUUCCUUCAAAUCUGGAAAGGAUAGUGUGACUGAUUUUUCUCUUGCACGGUCCUUAUAGGAAACAUAAGGAAAGAGGAUAAACAGGUCACUGGAAAAGAGGUAGUCUGGUAACAAAGGGAUCCUGAAAUAAGGCCUGCUGAAUUGCUUUAGUUAAGAGCUGCCUAUGUGAACACCUCAAACAAAGAAACCAAGCUAGAAGUUCACUCGCACAUUUUAGGUAUUUCCAGCACUGAAACUGGAAAAAAACUGACACUCUUUUUACACUGCAAAUGAAGAAUCAUCCAUCUUUACAGAAGUGUAAGGUGUUCAAAUUCUGUAGCUUCUCAUUGGAAAACUUGAUCAAGAGAUCAAACAGCAAAGACAAUUUUUGAAGCCAUUAAACCCACUGACAGAGUAUAAUUACCAUCAAGGCUUUAGUUUCUAUGCCUACGUCAACACUUGUAUGUCUCCUCUGAACGCCUCCUGAAAAUCACUGCAGACUUUCACACACAUCAAAGCCCACCACAAAUACAUGAACUUGGUGAUCUUUGGCAGAAUGAAUAGGAGGAAAACUUGACAUUGCAGUGUCAACACAGUUAAGCAAAACUCCAUAACCAUUCUCAGUGCCCUGGAAAGAUGGAAAAUCUCUGGAGCCAGCCAAAGCUUUCCAGCAUUCCUCUGAGGAGAACCAAUAGCCAAGCCCAUGGUACAUGUCUCCAAGGAACAAGCUAUAAAUCAACUUCAGUAUAGAUCCUACUUUUUGACUGGUAGCCCUUUUGUUACUACAACAAGGGACAAGAA